rnacentral:misc_RNA from 1 species
GUUAUUUACUCGCUGACUGCACAUGGUUGGCUGUGGUAGGUGAAAUAGGGUUGUGAUAAUGGUAUAGUUGGUCUUUCGACUUGUGGAAACAAGGCUUUAUAUUUGCCUUUAUUCGUAUCGGAGUCCUUGCAAGUGGUGCCAGGUUUUAGCAUCGGAAAUUUGGGUACACGCUUCAUAAUAUGAGCGAGAUUGAUUCCUCUCACAAGCUCGAUGCAGAGAAAGUAGAGCCGGGUAUAGACGAGAGUAUAGACUCGGAAAAUACUUUGUUUACGGUAAGUAAGGAUUGGAGCGAAUGUAUUGACAUCCCCGAGAGCAAAGGAGACGAGGAAACAGUCGAAAAUGGCAACAGUUCCAGUGGGGAAGAGAAACAAGCAUACGAGACGACUCGUGCUAUGACUGCUAUCUCAGCCACAAGCCCUCCGCCACCCCCCGUAGUCAACCCGUGGAACAAAACCACGAAAAACGCUCGGAAUUCCACUGAAAAUGUUGAACUGGAAGAGCCUGUGAAAGAGAGCGUAAAAGAGCCAGAGAUCGCCAAGGAAGAUGAUAAAUUGACGGAUUUAGAAAGCUGGCCCAGUCUUGGGGAAACCGGUCAAAAUACGGAAGAAUUGAAGAAUAUUACGGUGAAAAAGGAAGCGGUGACUGAAGUACCUAAUAAUACAAGUGAGGAGAAUUUAAAGACAACCCCAAGAAAGAAAGGAAAAAGCCGUAAAUGGGUUCCUCUUCCACUAGAUCCCAAAGGCCAAGACGGUGAGAACACAAGCCCUUCGCCAGACUCUGAUGGUACAUUCCCCCCACGCAGAUCUCCCAGUUGGCGUGGUGUAUCACCUGGUGGUCGAGGGGGAAGAGGUAGGAGAGGUGCCGGUGGUAUGUAUCGUGGCGGAAGAGGUCGACAAAGAGGAGGGGGGAGAGGAUCUGAUCAACAAAUGCACUACGGGAGCAACCCAUAUCAAUAUCCUAAUGUCAAUCCUUAUGCCGAUGGAGCGAUGUACGUGGCCCCGCAGCCCUAUGGAAUAUGCUAUUAUGACAAUCGAAAUUACAGCAACAUGCUAGACGAAUCUUUACUAAAGGACUAUAUUAGGAGACAAAUUGAAUAUUAUUUUAGUACUGAAAACCUGGCUAAAGAUGUCUACUUGAGACAGCAGAUGGAUGCCGAGGGGUAUAUUCCUAUAAAUCUAAUAGCAAGUUUUUACCGAGUGCAAGCGUUGAGUCAAGACCAGGAUUUGAUUUUGCAGGCGAUGUCGGAAAGUGACAAGGUUGAAGUGAAAGAUGGACUUCUUCGAAGUCUUGAUAACCCAGCUAAAUGGCCAAUUCAAGUCUCUCCCACUGUCACUAGUCCUACAGAACAUGAGAAGAAUGCGGAAUCAGUAAAGCCAAUCGAUAAAGAUGAAAAAAUCCCAGAUGAAGAUGAAACUCUGGAUUCAAACGGAUCAGCAGUUCAAACGGAGACUAAGGGCGAAGUCACUUUGGACAGUAAAACAGAAGAGUCAUCUGCUGAAAGAAACAAAAUUCACAGUGAGUGGGAGUGGAAAGAAGUGAAGAGGAAGAAACCUCACAAGAGUCCAGACAAGAUUAUUGCUGCUAAGCCUAAAGUUACCGUUGGAGCAUUCGAACAAGAAGAACUGGAUUUUAAAUUCGACGAAGAACUUGUCGCUAUGGGAAAAUUUAAGGACUACAAAGACUGGUCUGAUGAAUCGGACGAUGAACUUGAUGAUUAUGAUGUUGGUAACAUUAUGAUUGUUACACAAACUCCGCCUCCCGCCAGCAAGAAACACGACCGUACUGGAAAUUUUGUAACACGAGCGAAACUGAAUGAUGAAUUUUCCAAGAUCAUUAAUGAUGGAUUAUAUUACUACGAACAGGAUCUCUGGGAUGACAGCGACGAGAGCUACUUAAGUAAAAAGGUCGAGCUGUCCUCUUCGUGGAAAAAGGUUGACGUAAUCUCCCGAGAUUACUUCGAUAGUCUUAAUGUCGACGGUCGUCCGAGGUCUAGCAGCGAGUUCUUUGUUAUGGACAUCGAACAAACCUCCGAAGAGGCUCAAAAGUUGUCCGAGAUAACGAAUCAGCUAUCACCAAGCGCUCCUCCGUUCCGACCGCGAGCGAUGACUGCACCCGUCGAACAGUUGUCCAAAUCGCUUCCUACGCAUGUCCCUUGUUUGCCUCCUUCACCAUCUAAACGUCCGAAGGGGUCGCGAACGCCAAAAUAUCUGAAAGAUAAUCAAAUUGCUCCAAGGUUUUAUCCUGCCAUUAGUAAGGAAAACGUGCCCGAUGAUGGUCUGCCGAAGAAACGAAAAACAAAGUAUAGCAAGAAUCCCCCCGUCGAACAUCACGUUGGCUGGAUAAUGGGCAGUAAACCGCAUCCUGCAGCAAGUGCAUCUGCGGGGACGUCUCCUCUAAGUACGCCGUCAUUUUUGGGACCGAAUGUGCCGUCCACGUCGUCCGGAACUUUCGGAUCGGCGCCUAUCUCGUUUCCACUCUUCCAACAUCCUUCGCAUGAGCUGUUGAAAAAGAAUGGAUUCACACAACAGCUUUAUCACAAGUUUCGUCAAAAAUGUUUUAAAGAGAGGGCCAAAAACGGAGUGGGACAGUCGCAAGAAAUGAACACAUUGUUUCGGUUUUGGUCCUUUUUCUUACGAUCGCAUUUCAAUCGGAAAAUGUACGCCGAGUUUAGGAAAUUUGCAAAUGAAGAUGCCAAAGCGGGAUACAGGUACGGUGUCGAGUGUCUAUUUAGAUAUUACAGUUAUGGUUUGGAGAAGAAAUUCCGUCCCGAUCUUUUCCAAGACUUUCAGGAAGAAACACUCUCCGAUCACGAUUCUGGCUUCCUUUAUGGCCUUGAAAAGUUUUGGGCAUUUUUGAAGUACUUUAAGGGCAAAAUGUUACCAGAAAUCAACCCAGAAAUAACCCGAAGAUUGGAAAGAUACAAAACCAUAGAAGACUUUAGAAAUGACCCUCUAAACCGGUUUAGUGAAGAAGGUGAUCUAUCUGUAAGAUUCCCUAAGAAAGGUGAUCACAAAUCAGGCGGUCAGUCGAAACACGAUCGCAGUCAGGAACCAAGUACUAGAACAGAGCAAGAACUCCAGGAGGGUGAGAAUCGAACUCAUGCCGUUAAGACGACGACGACAAACCAAGGAACGGCAGGUAAUGGAAGAGCAAGACUCCCUUCAAAAGGAAAGGAUGAACGCGAUAAAGCGACUGAGAGUCGAGUUGAGGAAAAAGCCCCAACUGAAAAAGGAGCGACCGGACGUGAUGGGCACCAUGGCCGCGAGGAGACUAAAAACCAGCAUUCGGAUCACCAUCAGAAAAGUAACCGUCGUCCACCUGGAAGAGGUCAUGGUCCCGGACAGGAUCACCAUGGAACUGGUCAACAUUGGGUAGGUAAGGAUACCCAGGGUCAAGGGAAACAUCAUCAUCCGCCAUCCAAGGGCCACCAUUCUUCAAGAGACAACCCCUCUCCACCAAAAGAGCACCAGGCAUCAAAAGGGAAGCACGCUUCGUCAAAAGAUCAUCCAGAUUCGUCUAAAGAUGUGCAAGGUGCAAAGGACCAUCCCGAGCCACCGACAGCUCAUUCGCCAAGAGAUCGCGCGCCGCCGAAAGGUCACCACGGUACUUCUAGAGCUCACCACGGACCAUUAAAAGAUCAGAAUGAUCCAUCAAAAUCUCAUCACGGAACUUCAAAAGAUCAUCACGGACCGUCCAAGGAACAUCACACGUCUGCGAAGGAUUUUCACGGACCGCAAAAAGAUCAGCGCUCGUCACCAAAGGAACAUCACGCUCCUUCGAAAGAUCAUCACGGACCGUCGAAAGAACAGCACGCUUCUUCGAAAGAUCAUCACGGACCGUCAAAAGAUCAGCACUCGCCCUCAAAAGAACAUCACGCACCAUCCAAAGAUCGUCACGGCCCAUCAAAAGAUCAGCAUUCACAAUCAAAGGAACAUCACGGGCCCUCCAAAGAUCAGCAAGCUCCGUCGAAAGAACGACACGCGUCGCCAAAGGAUCAAAACACGUCUUCAAAGGAUCUUCACGCGAUAUCAAAAAAACAUCAGGCAAAAGAUCACCAAGCGGCUUCAAAACCACAUCAACCUUCUUCGAAGGACCAACAUUCUUCAUCAAAAGACCAUCAAACCCAGUCGAAAGAACACACUCCCAAAGCCCAUCAAGGUGCCUCGAAAGAUCAACACGCCGCAUCAAGUUCAAAAUACCAUUCGACUGCAAAGGAGCACCACGCCAGGGGCAAAGAACAUCGUGUUCCACCGAAAGAUCAAGGCGUUGUGUCGGGAAACCAGCAACCUGUGUCGAAGAAACCGCACAGCUCGGCGAAGAGCUCACAUACCUCACAAAAACGACAAAACUCUCCAUCUAAAGAAAGCGCCUCUUCCAAGGAUCAGCAGAAAGAAAAAGACAUUGUGACUAAAGAAGAGAAAUCGUCUGGCAAAAAUAACUCGCAAGCAAAUGAUGGACCUCGCGAAAUUGCAAAGGAACAAUCGGUACCGGAAGAGCAACAACAACAGGUUGAAGCAAAAACUGCUCCCGAAGAAACAAAGCAUUCGGAUUUGAAAGAAAGCAAUGACAAUAGUUUACAACAACGUGCGAAAUCUGAGGACAGCGAUGUAACGCAAAACAAAUCGGAAGCUUCUACAUCUCAGGACGCUACCAGGCCACAUGCGUCUACUGGCGAUAAGUGAGGCCGCGCAUAGCACUGGAGAAAAGACCAAAGAGGUGAAUGUUUAUAGGUUGAAGUACAAUUUUUUGGAAAAAAAAUUUAAUGAAAAAGAUUAGCUGUUUCUGGCAUACUUCUUAUAGGAAGGAGCUGGGGGUUUAUCAACGAUUCGAGCAAAUGACAAUUGAUCAAUAGGGCGUUUGCUUUUGCCAUCGUACGGCGUUUAAUUUAAUGAUUUAACGAUUCAUCACCAGGGUGGAAUUUUUCAAGAACGUUGUCAAAAGGAAUGUCCAACCGCUACCCCUGCCAUUGCAAUCGUCUACUAGAUAUAUCGCAAAAUCUGGAUUUUGCUGAACUAUGCUGCCGUAUACAACAAGUGUGUAUUAUAAACGAGCCCAGAAAAAAAAACAAGCCCUUCAUAUUGCGAUCAGCUGACAUGAAAAUCGAUGAGGCGGGUGUCAGGUGUUAAAGAUGUGGUAUUUUUCAAAGCCUGUUUCGUUGAAUUCGAUGGAUGCGAUCAAUUCGACAAGAACGACUAGUUUUAAAAUGAUUCAUAUUAUUUGUAACGAUUUUUAGGGAAAAUUGCUUUAUCCAGGGUUGGUAUCAGGUGCAGAUGAGGUGAAAUCAAAUUACCAAGGACAAAUAAUUCCUUGUUGAUGUUUUUUUAAGAUAAGUAACAUUAUUCAAAAACAUUUGCUCUUUAUUGUGUACUUACAAAAUGAGGAAAAUUUUCCAUCCCUGGAUACAUGCACAAUAUUUCUUAAAAGGCCAAACUAAAGUAUUUUAUGCCAGUAUAAACUAGUUGCUAUUAGCGUUUUGCUUAUACGGGAGCUUUUAGCAAACCGAUUCUAUUAUUCGCUUAGAAAGGUGCUGGGUAGUGAAAGAAUAACGGUAUUAAGAACUGGCAGUUUAUAUAGGAUCAGUAUAUAAAAUUAACCAGAACUCCCACUCUCCACAUCACAUCUGUUUAGUGUUAACAGUGUACGAAUUGUAUGCCAUCAAGCCAUGUCCGUAUCGCUAAACAAGUGUCAUCAGCUUUGGUUUGUGGAGAGUGAGACAUCUGCUCAUUAUGUGUAAAGUAUUCUUAAUCAAAAGCCUCUACUCUGAAAUGACUUGCGACGAAUUUCGAAAAUGGAAGCCACAAAGCGGGACAAUUCGUAGGAUUUAUCGACACCAGACCUAAGCAAAGUGGAUGCAAAAUUCGAGAGCGCAUUUCAAAAAAGAG